rnacentral:rRNA from 1 species
AACGAACGCUGGCGGCAGGCUUAACACAUGCAAGUCGAACGCUGCAGCAAUGCAGAGUGGCAGACGGGUGAGUAACGCGGGGGAACCUUCCCAAUGGUACGGAAUAGCCCAGGGAAACUUGGGGUAAUACCGUAUAAGCCUCAUGGGGGAAAGAUUUAUCGCCAUUGGAUGGGCCCGCGUCUGAUUAGCUAGUUGGUGAGGUAACGGCUCACCAAGGCAACGAUCCGUAGCUGGUUUGAGAGAAUGACCAGCCACACUGGGACUGUGACACGGCCCAGACUCCUACGGGAGGCAGCAGUGGGGACUCUUGGACAAUGGGCGAAAGCCUGAUCCAGCCAUGCCGCGUGAGUGACGAAGGCCUUAGGGUUGUAAAGCUCUUUUGGCGGGGACGAUAAUGACGGUACCCGCAGAAUAAGUCCCGGCUAACUUCGUGCCAGCCGCCGCAGUAA